rnacentral:rRNA from 1 species
UACGGGGGGGUGCGAGCGUUGUCCGGAAUCACUGGGCGAAAGGGCGCGUAGGUGGCCUGAUAAGGGUGUGGUGAAAGUCCGGGGGCUUAACCCCCGGAUCUGCCGUGCCGACUGUUAGGCUAGAGUGCUGUAGGGGCAGGCGGAAUUCCGGGGUGUAGCGGUGGAAUGCGUAGAGAUCCGGAGGAAGACCGGUGGCGAAGGCGGCCUGCUGGGCAGAUACUGACACUGAGGCGCGACAGCGUGGGGGAGCAAACAGG